rnacentral:rRNA from 1 species
AGUGAACGCUGGCGGUAGGCCUAACACAUGCAAGUCGAACGGCAGCACAGUAAGAGCUUGCUCUUACGGGUGGCGGGUGGAGGACGGGUGAGGAAUACAUCGGAAUCUACUUUUUCGUGGGGGAUAACGUAGGGAAACUUACGCUAAUACCGCAUACGACCUACGGGUGAAAGCAGGGGAUCUUCGGACCUUGCGCGAUUGAAUGAGCCGAUGUCGGAUUAGCUAGUUGGCGGGGUAAAGGCCCACCAAGGCGACGAUCCGUAGCUGGUCUGAGAGGAUGAUCAGCCACACUGGAACUGAGACACGGUCCAGACUCCUACGGGAGGCAGCAGUGGGGAAUAUUGGACAAUGGGCGCAAGCCUGAUCCAGCCAUACCGCGUGGGUGAAGAAGGCCUUCGGGUUGUAAAGCCCUUUUGUUGGGAAAGAAAAGCAGCAGGUUAAUACCCCGCUGUUCUGACGGUACCCAAAGAAUAAGCACCGGCUAACUUCGUG